rnacentral:ribozyme from 13 species
CCCAAAAAGACAAUUCUUUUUCAAAAAACAAAAACGAAACAAAAAACAAAAAAGAGAAAAUAUUUCUGUUUUCUCUUUUCCCCCAAACAGUUUUUUU